AACCCAACAGCUAGCUCUC
rnacentral:rRNA from 1 species